GGUAACAAUUACAAUAUUUUAGACAUACCGGGGCGGUGCUAGAGUUGCUGUUCUUGGCAGCUUCCAGGCCUUUGCAGACAAAAAUCUUCAUCGUUAUUUAGUGGAUGAUUUGAUGCCCCACCUGGCUCUUCAUUUGGGGGGUAUGUUGGAAGGCUCGAAGACACACCUCAUCACCUGAAAUAGUGUUAACAGGAUCUACAACAAUAACCACAAAGGGUGUUCAGGAAGGAAAGCUUGGUUAAGAACCUAGAGAUAAACAUGAAUUCCUGAGAGCCAGUAGCCAUAUCCAGGAUGUGAAUGCUGCCAUGAAAUUUUGAAUACGAUUAAAAUUCAGCUGCAUAAUUAGCAGAAACCAAUGAAUUUUACAUACCUUGAUGCUUUUUCAGUUGUCUUGACAGCUACAUCUCCGUUUUCUAACUGAUAAAUAAAUGUUUCUUAUUAA